rnacentral:rRNA from 1 species
GAUGAACGCUGGCGGCGUGCCUAAUACAUGCAAGUCGAGCGAACGGACGAGAAGCUUGCUUUUCUGAUGUUAGCGGCGGACGGGUGAGUAACACGUGGAUAACCUACCUAUAAGACUGGGAUAACUUCGGGAAACCGGAGCUAAUACUGGAUAAUAUUUUCAACCGCAUGGUUCAAAAGUGAAAGACGGUCUUGCUUUCACUUAUAGAUGGAUCCGCGCUGCAUUAGCUAGUUGGUAAGGUAACGGCUUACCAAGGCAACGAUGCAUAGCCGACCUGAGAGGGUGAUCGGCCACACUGGAACUGAGACACGGACCAGACUCCUACGGGAGGCAGCAGUAGGGAAUCUUCCGCAAUGGGCGAAAGCCUGACGGAGCAACGCGGCGUGAGUGGUGAAGGUCUUCGGAUCGUAAAACUCUGUUAUGAGGGAAGAACAUAUGUGUAAGUAACUGUACACAUCUUGACGGUACCUAAUCAGAAAGCCACGGCUAACUACGUG